UCUGAGUUGUCCAGUUGCGUGCAGACUCCAGU
rnacentral:piRNA from 1 species